GUGGGGAGGGAGCAAGGACAUACUGGAGACAGACAGACACUACACCCGUGGGGAGAAAACAGCUAACACAAAGUCCAUCAGAUACUGUAUCUGACCUCAAACAGUCGACCUGCAUCUGCAGGGCCUAACAGGGAGGGGGACAACCCAACUGAGAUUGAUGAGCAAUUGCAGCCCCGACCGACCGGCUCCCCUACGGGAGACAUCACAGCCAUGGCCAGUGGUGGCUGGUCCGCUCCAGGAAUCUGAGGUGCGGGAGGUCCCUCCGCCCCUCUGGACAUCGAGGGGGCCCCGGCGUACUCCGUUUGUUCCAUCCUGGAUUCGAGGCGUCAGGCAGGGGACCUUCAGUACCUCGUGGAGUGGGAGGGGUACGGUCCGGAGGCACGACUUCCUCUCCUUGUUCGGGCAGCUCCAUUUCUCAUUUCUCCAUUUGUUUUGUCUUGUUCCCUACACACCUGAUUUUCAUUCCAUAAUCAUACUGCAUAUAUUUAGUCCUCUGUUCCCCUGCAUUUCUUUGUGUGUAAUUGUUUAUUAUUAUGUGGAUAUUGUCAGGCGCCAUACUUUUGUUAUGUUCCGUGUUUUUGGCACGUUUAUGUUUUUAUGUGCUGUCGUUUUUGGACAGGAAUUAAAGUGUGCCUGUUUACUACACUCUGCUCCCCUGCACCUGACUUCGCUUCCCGUACACACCCCUAACACUGAGGGAUGUUUGUACAACUAAUUAUCUCAUUCAGGCUGCCUGACAACAUACUGUUUGUAGGAUAUGGCAAUGGUGCAUGGGAUUAAUGAAAGUUUGGACAUUCCUGCAUCAUAGAUGAACUACUACAGUCCCCUUUUAUUCUACAUUUCAGUAGUCAGACUGCAAGGCCAGGAGGAGGUGACAACCAGUGGCAAUUUUAGCAUGUAAAUCUUGGUCGGGCAAAAAAAAA